rnacentral:rRNA from 1 species
UACGAAGGAUGCGAGCGUUAUCCGGAUUUAUUGGGUUUAAAGGGUGCGUAGGCGGCUUUGUAAGUCAGUGGUGAAAUAUGGCAGCCCAACUGUCAGGGUGCCAUUGAUACUGCGGAGCUUGAGUACAGAUGAGGUAGGCGGAAUUGACGGUGUAGCGGUGAAAUGCUUAGAUAUCGUCAAGAACACCGAUAGCGAAGGCAGCUUACUAGGCUGUAACUGACGCUGAGGCACGAAAGUGUGGGGAUCAAACAGG